AUUGAAAAGACAUAUUAGGCCUUUUAUUUUUGAUCUUUCGGUUUAUGGAACCGCCGCUCAAAAUAACGUGUUUUCAGAAAAAAAAUAAAAUUAGAAAAAACGUGAUUUUUUAUUUCCUCCGCUAUGACAUGAAAGCUUGCAGAAGAAAAAAUGCAUUGCGUAUUCCAAAAAGAAAAAAAAAGUCUCGUUCUUCGAAUAUCCGUCACGGCGAACGAGUCAAAUCAACAUUAGGAAUUCCUAUAAUUCUAUUUUUAAACUUCAUAUCUUAUGCAUGACGUAAACAUCCAAUUAAAAUUUCCGAUAUAUACUGCCCCCAAUCAGCAUGCUUGUUACGCAAUUUACAAAACGUUAAAAAAUGGCUGCGCCCAUGCUGUAUUAUUUCCAAAGUUUUGAAGUAAUUUUAAUGAAAAUGCAAGAACAGUCAAAGUUGCAAUGUACUGUAGUGCUUUCCUGAAAAAAUGGCCAAUUGUCGGUGAUAUGCAGUCUGUAUUUAGUAUACAACUACGUUUAUGAUCCUUAGAGCUUUUGGUGGUUGGUUCAGGCACAGUAACUGGAACUGAGAUAUUAACAGAUAUACAAGUUCAGUCAAAAUUAAAUAAAACAAACAUACUAUCAUUGAUGCAAGCUAAAUGUGGAUGACAGACAGAAGACAGAACUAAAAGCUAAUCAAAAACUUAGGAGCAGAACUUCACAAGCUGAAAAUAUUCCAUUUUUUCAUGACUCUAGGUCAAAACCAUUUUGAAAUAUGUAUGAGGUGGACGAAGGCAAAUCUGAGUGCCCCCUACCCAUAACUGUGCUAUGCCAAGAGGAAUUCAAUGAAGCUCAAAAGCAAUCUGUCAUUCUGCCACACAAGUUAGGAAGUUGAAUUCACAUCACAGUUCAAGUUCCAGCUUUGGAAGAAGACCACAUAAGCCCAUCUGGGUGUAAUUUCUAUCAAGAAAUCAUGUGGACAAAACCAUCAAUCUUCUGCAAGUCAGCUGGAUGACUUCCCCACAGGCUGACAAGAGUGUGGCUUGAACCAACAGAUGAGAAGCUAGUGAUUCAAAUUAAUUGAUGUCAACUGUUACAUGUAUAUAGACAUCUAGAAAUAUAUGCAAUACAUGAUUAAGUACUGGUGUGUUGAUGAAACAAUGCAAGGUGCUGAAGGGCCUAUAAAGAAAAAAGAUGCUUAUCUACAGACAUGGUUUGGUGAGAGUUUAUUUUGAAUAGUCUGAACAAACAAGACAACUACAACUGCUGCCUACUUCUUACACUGUAUUUCACCGGAGGUGUACAUUAAUGGAUAUUUAUUAUAAUUGAAUAAGCAUUUAUAAAUAUUCACAGAUUUUCUUACAGACUGAUAUGUAAUAAGAAGUAGAAUUGUCAUAGGCAUAGCCAGAGCUUCAAAACUGAUAACCACAACAAGGCACAAAGUGCCUAGUUGGGGAGGACGGACACAGAACCUUUGGUUCAGGUGAGCUAAAACUUAUAUGUAUAUAAAAUGAGCUGGACUGUGAAUCCUACAAGGGAAUGAUGACUAACCAAAGACAAAAAAAUCUGUCAGGAAAAUUAAUUCCUAUUCCUACAAUCAAUCAGCAGGUGACAACAACCAAUCAUCUCUUAUAAAUUUUCAGGGAACAAUUUCACUGAAAAUAAAAACAACACAGUUUUUUUAUUAAAAAAAAAGGAUGUUAUUUAGUAUGUUUAUUUUUCAACUGUAAGAAUCCUCUUAAUGUAACUUGUAUUUUCAGUUCAUUAAGAUGUAUUAAAGAGUAAAGUAGUAUGUAGAAGGAAAGUAUGAUUAGCAUUAUUGCAUUUUCAUGCCAAUUUAAUGACAUUUGUUAGCAUUUCUAAUGCCAGAGGAGAUAAUUCCUUGUGAACUAUGCAGAUUUUACAACAAUUAUAUACAAAGUCCUUUUAUCCAGUUGCACCAAAAGCUGAAAUAAUUUCAAUCAUGAUUAGUGCGUUUGUGCUGGGUAAACUUUGCAGUAUUUGUCAAAGCAUCUGAUGGAUACUGCCUGGCUUUGUCAAGUAACUGGCAAUUUCCUACAGGAAAUGGUGACAGAGAAACUCAGACUUUGACAGAAAUGUAUGACUUACUAAUAAAAUAACUAGUUACUAGUUUGGGUCACAGUUAUGAAGGAUCUGUUGUAAGUCUGCUCUGGACCUGGGUUGCAAGUGUACUGCCAAGGGUCUGCAUUUUUUGUAUUAUAAGCCUACUCUAGCCCUGGCCGCUGAUGAAUGGUUAACGGGAACAAUACCUUCCAAGAUCUUGAAAUCCUAUGAUUACCAGACAGUGUAAACCACUGUGCUGUUGCUGUUUACUCAAAUAAUGUUUUAUGAUGUAAGUAACAAAUAUUUAUUGCCUUUAAUUAACAUGGUUGGCAUCCCAAUUUCUUAUACCUGGCAUUCUAAUUUCUUUUGGCUGGAAGUGCAAUUUCUGACAUAAUAAUCUUACUAGGAAAUGUAAGAAAUGCUUCGACAGACAACUGCAAAUUACAGACAUAUUUUUAUAUACACAAUAACAUGCCUUUGCUGCCUGCUUCUUACACCAUAUUUCACCUGAGGUGUACAUUAAUGGAUAUUUAUUAUAAUUGAAUAAGUUUUUCAGAUUAAAGGGAAUUCUUGCCAAUUCUCCAUAUUGUAAUAUCAUUCAAGUAGGUGUGUUGAUCUGUCAAGUAAUCUGCAAAACUGCAUUCAGUUUUGCAGAAAUAUCCUUUGAUCAAGAAUCAGAACAAAAUAUAAAGUUUCAUGCACACCAGAAUCUCUCUAGUUUUUUUUUAAACUCAUAAUGUCUCAUAAUUGAGAAAAAGCUAUAUUUUUGAUGGAUUAUUAAAAUCUGUACAAAAUCAAAUCCGGGGAAACAUAUUCUUAAAACAGAAAAUGUUUUAUUAAAAUAAGAUACUUUUUACUUUUCAACUAAUGAGAGACUAUGAUGACAUUUGUGUGUGGCAUUCAUCAAAAUAUUACACCUCUUAAAACAAUCCCUCACAAGUACAUCUACACCCUAAGGAAUAGUUUUUUUUUUUUCUUUUUUUUUUUUUUUUCAUUUUUCUAGAAAACUGAAACUUGCUUUCCUGAAAGUAAUACAUUCUUAUCUCCUACAAUCAACAUGGCCAUAACUUAUGGUGUUUAGACUUUCACUCUGGUGCUGGUAAAUGAUAUAUCAGAUUAUUUCUUUCAUUCUUCAUUUUGAAACAAGAUGAUAAGUAACAUUUACCUAUAAAAGAAAGACAGCUUUCAUCUUUUAUAAAAUGUGAAAAAUCUAGACAAAAGCAUCACA
rnacentral:lncRNA from 1 species